GCGCUAUCGGAUGAGCCUAUGUCGGAUUAGCUAGUUGGUAAGGUAACGGCUUACCAAGGCAACGAUCCGUAGCUGGUCUGAGAGGAUGAUCAGCCACACUGGGACUGAGACACGGCCCAGACUCCUACGGGAGGCAGCAGUGGGGAAUAUUGGACAAUGGGCGAAAGCCUGAUCCAGCCAUGCCGCGUGUGUGAAGAAGGCUUUCGGGUUGUAAAGCACUUUCAGCGAGGAAGAAAGCCUCUGGGUUAAUACNNCAGAGGAAGGACAUCACUCGCAGAAGAAGCACCGGCUAACUCCGUGCCAGCAGCCGCGGUAAUACGGAGGGUGCGAGCGUUAAUCGGAAUUACUGGGCGUAAAGCGCGCGUAGGUGGCUUGGCACGCCGGUUGUGAAAGCCCCGGGCUCAACCUGGGAACGGCAUCCGGAACGGCCAGGCUAGAGUGCAGGAGAGGAAGGUAGAAUUCCCGGUGUAGCGGUGAAAUGCGUAGAGAUCGGGAGGAAUACCAGUGGCGAAGGCGGCCUUCUGGCCUGACACUGACACUGAGGUGCGAAAGCGUGGGUAGCAAACAGGAUUAGAUACCCUGGUAGUCCACGCCGUAAACGAUGUCGACUAGCCGUUGGGACCUUUAAGGACUUAGUGGCGCAGUUAACGCGAUAAGUCGACCGCCUGGGGAGUACGGCCGCAAGGUUAAAACUCAAAUGAAUUGACGGGGGCCCGCACAAGCGGUGGAGCAUGUGGUUUAAUUCGAUGCAACGCGAAGAACCUUACCUACCCUUGACAUCCAGAGAAGUUGGCAGAGAUGCCUUCGUGCCUUCGGGANCUCUGAGACAGGUGCUGCAUGGCUGUCGUCAGCUCGUGUUGUGAAAUGUUGGGUUAAGUCCCGUAACGAGCGCAACCCUUGUCCUUAUUUGCCAGCGAGUAANGUCGGGAACUCUAAGGAGACUGCCGGUGACAAACCGGAGGAAGGUGGGGACGACGUCAAGUCAUCAUGGCCCUUACGGGUAGGGCUACACACGUGCUACAAUGGCCGGUACAAAGGGUUGCGAGACCGCGAGGUGGAGCGAAUCCCAGAAAGCCGGCCUCAGUCCGGAUCGGAGUCUGCAACUCGACUCCGUGAAGUCGGAAUCGCUAGUAAUCGUGAAUCAGAAUGUCACGGUGAAUACGUU
rnacentral:rRNA from 1 species